CGAGCAGGCGGUUUUAUAAGUCGGAUGUGAAAUCCUACGGCUCAACCGUAGAACUGCAUUCGAUACUGUGGAACUUGAGUACUGGAGAGGAAAGCGGAACUCAUGGUGUAGCGGUAAAAUGCGUAGAUAUCAUGAGGAACACCGGUGGCGAAGGCGGCUUUCUGGCCAGAUACUGACGCUGAUCCGCGAAAGCCAGGGGAGCGAACG
rnacentral:rRNA from 1 species